rnacentral:rRNA from 1 species
UACGUAGGGGGGCAAGCGUUGUUCGGAAUUACUGGGCGUAAAGCGCACGUAGGCGGCUUUGUAAGUUAGAGGUGAAAGCCCGGGGCUCAACUCCGGAAUUGCCUUUAAGACUGCAUCGCUAGAAUUGUGGAGAGGUAAGUGGAAUUCCGAGUGUAGAGGUGAAAUUCGUAGAUAUUCGGAAGAACACCAGUGGCGAAGGCGACUUACUGGACACAUAUUGACGCUGAGGUGCGAAAGCGUGGGGAGCAAACAGG